rnacentral:lncRNA from 1 species
GUGGCCUUUGGGGUUUUUUUGACUAUUCACUUUGACAGAUGUUCUUACUUUUACUUGAAAAACAGUCCAUACUAAAUAUGUGUUGCGUGUGUAAAGUGCAUUCCUUGUGUACCUCAUAGGAAGAGUGAGUUUGUUAACCGGUGACCAGCUGUAGGAAAGCAAGGCUGCACCACGACAAGAGAUACAAUGACAGGCGUCUCCAGUUUAACGUGCUGACACAGAACCUCCCGUCGUCUUCCUGAUUUCCAUGCACGGUGCCACCACAGUUCACUCACUUGCGUCGGCGUCACACUAGGAAUCUUCCGUCAUCCCUCACCGUCUGGGUCCCACUCAGCAGCCAGCACCAUCAGCUUGUCUUCGCUGAGUGUUACCUCUGUCCAGCCUUCCAAACCAGACCCUGCAGCGCCUCUUGGGAACGCCCUGCGGAAGAUCUGUGCUGAUGCCUCACCACCUGCAGGACAGAAGUGCAGACUCCUGCCCGGGACAGAAUAAGAUGGACGUGACCGUGAGUCUGAGACUAGGUCAUAGAAGGCUCCGGGACUUCUUCCUCAUGCGUGCUGUCUUGAAUCGCUCUGAGGGAAGCCAGCUGCCGUGUCCUAGGAUGCACAGGCAGCCUGUAUGCCCAGAAAGGGAGUCCGACAGCCAGCGGGGGCCCGAAACCUGCAGCACCACGCACAGGAGCCUGAGAUGGCUUCAGCCUCUGCCAAGUCUGAGAAAUAAGUAUUUGUUUUAAGCUGAUA